AUGCAGAUAGUCGUUGCAGAGCUGCUGCCUAAACGAGUGAAAAAUAUUAAAAAACAAGUCAGAAGUCUACAUAAAGCCAUUGUUGUACUCUGGAGAAUAUAUUUUUGUUUUUCCGACCUGUCUUUGCCUUGGUGACGUUGUGAACGUAACCGAACGGGACUUGGCCAUUAAGGUUUGGAUCGGGAAAUGCCGAGCUAGAAUCGGAGUUUGAUCCGCUGAGCGAGAAACAAGAUGGCGAGCCACCCAGGGACCCAUUGAACUGUACCGAGCAGGAAAAAGGAAAACCGCCCCCUGCUGGACGUUGAACUCUUUCACUAAAAAACUGGUAGGAUUAAUCCAUACACCUCUGCAAAAGAACAGUGGACUUUCAAAGCACUGGAUAAUCGUUCAGAGCAAUUCCAGGAUUUAUAGUUAAAGGACACAGAGACAAUUUUCUUUUGUUUAUUUGUUUGUUUAAGGGAUUUGUUCAGCCUUUUGCUGAAUUGUUUUCAGUUUUUACAUGUUUUGUAAUUUAUUUUGGACAACCAAUUUUAAUGCUGUAAUGGUGUUAAUGGAAAUGUAAAUAAUUUUGUUGGGUUAAAACAAAAUAAGAACUGGUUGAAAUGUACAGGUGAACUUAGACCAAGAUUAAAUUAAAUCUUGGGCUUAAAAGAACUAAGCUUGAUUUAAAUAACACAGUGUUAAUUCAAAUAGGUCAAAGGAUAAACUUGAACUUAGAACUUGAAAUGAAUAAAACAAUAACCUAGGUUGAAAAUAACAUCCUUUUAAAGCCAAAUAAAAGGCUUUGAAAUAAAUAGGAUAAAUUAACAGAAAUUACUGAACUAAAAGGGAAAGAAAAUAUCUUGUUUUCCUUAAAUGUGAAUUUGAAUGUUUUAUGUAAUGUGUCUAUAACUGUCUAUUAUCUCUGUCUUUUCCAAAAUAAUAAGCCGGCAAUUUAAACGUA